AACACGGACCAAGGAGUCUAGACUGUGCGCGAGUCAAAGGGCUGGCUAAACCCCAAGGCGAAACGAAAGUGAAAAACGGGAACGAGAGGAAGGCGUCGUCGGGUGGAUUUUAUCCGCCCGCGCGUCGUCUCUCUCAUCGUUUUCCUUUUCGGGCCGAUCCGGUUCGUCGCGGCUGGCGGGGGAGUUUCUCCCCCGUUCUUCCCUUCGAUUCUUCACAGUAAUAUGUGGACGGCGCAGGCCCGGGGCUCGCUUUUGCUUCCUCCGCCGCCGUUAAGGCUCGUGAGUCGCGGUUUUCGCCGGGGGGUCGGGCAGCGGCGAGGGGGAUUCGCGUCCCUCUCGUCCGUUCGCCUUCCUCUCGAGCGCGGACCCUUCUCCCCGCCGGCGGCGGACGAGCGGCGGGUUCUCCGAGCGCACAAUCUGGGACCCGAAAGAUGGUGAUCUAUGCCUGGCGAGGAUGAAGCCAGAGGAAACUCUGGUGGAAGUCCGUAGCGAUUCUGACGUGCAAAUCGAUCGUCG
rnacentral:rRNA from 1 species